GAAUGUUUUGCCUGUUCCUGAGGCUGUGCAAGAGGAACACGACAAGCAAUUGCUCAGUGCAUUUUUUAAACCUGUUAUUGCUAAUGAUAAAAAUUUUAGUUGUAAUGACUUUCUUCCCACUCUUUAUUUUUUCCAGCUUUCUUGGAGUCAAGAGGAAUGGUCUAUGACCAGGUAAAAUACUCAUUCAUGUGUAUGAUGUAACAAGUGCCAUGAUAUUUUGCAGCCAAAAGAAUUGCAUGGUUCUAUCUGCAAGCUGCUGGACUUUCAGGAUGGAGCUGUGUACAUUCAGCAAUGCAUUGAGCCUGGGACUAGGCUGCUCUUCCUGAUACCAUGGACAUUACUGCCUCCCCUAUGGGUACUCAUAAAAUAAUUCCUGCUAAUUGGAACAUCCCUGUUAAAAAGAUGGUCAGUUGGGAAAUGUCACUCGGAUCCAGGAAAGGGUUCAGCUUUCCUUGGAGUGGCUCAGUGCAAGGAAGAAGUUUUUUCUUCUCCCUUUGUUUAGGGAUGGAUGCCCACCAGGCCUUGGCCAGGUGCACU
rnacentral:lncRNA from 1 species